rnacentral:rRNA from 1 species
UGUGUCUGCCGCCGCGGUAAUACGGAGGGUGCAAGCGUUAUUCGGAUUUAUUGGGUUUAAAGGGUGUGUAGGCGGUUUGAUAAGUCAGUGGUGAAAUCGGGAGGCUCAACUUCGCGAUUGCCAUUGAUACUGUUAGGCUAGAGUAUAGUCGGCUUGAGAGGAAUGCGACAAGUAGCGGUGAAAUGCUUAGAUAUGUCGCAGAACACCGAUAGCGAAGGCAUCUCAAGAGGUUAUACUGACGCUGAGGCACGAAAGCGUGGGGAUCAAACAGGAUUAGAUACCCUGGUAGUCCACGCCGUAAACGAUGAUGACUAGGUCUUGGAGAGCAAUUUCCAGGGCCUGAGCGAAAGCGUUAAGUCAUCCACCUGGGGAGUACGUUCGCAAGUAUGAAACUCAAAGGAAUUGACGGGGGCCCGCACAAGCGGAGGAACAUGUGGUUUAAUUCGAUGAUACGCGAGGAACCUUACCCGGGUUUAAAUGUUGGUUGCAUAGAGCAGAGAUGUUCUUUUCUAGUAAUAGACUACCAGCAAGGUGCUGCAUGGUUGUCGUCAGCUCGUGCCGUGAGGUGUCGGGUCAAGUCCCAUAACGAGCGCAACCCCUGCUUCCUGUUACCAGCACGUAAAGGUGGGGACUCAGGAAGGACUGCCGCCGUAAGGCGUGAGGAAGGGGGGGAUGACGUCAAAUCAGCACGGCCCUUACAUCCGGGGCGACACACGUGUUACAAUGGUCGGUACAGAGGGAAGCCAGGCGGCGACGCCGAGCGGAUCUUAAAAGCCGACCGUAGUUCGGAUCGGAGUCUGCAACUCGACUCCGUGAAGCUGGAUUCGCUAGUAAUCGCAUAUCAGCCAUGAUGCGGUGAAUACGUUCCCGGGCCUUGUACACACCGCCCGUCAAGCCAUGGAAGCUGAGGGUACCUGAAGUACGUAACCGCAAGGAGCGUCCUAGGGUAAAAUUAGUGACUGGGGCUAAGUCGUAACAAGGUAACCA